UACCUGGGUUUGACAUACACCGGAAGCCGUGGAGACACGGCCCCCCUUGUGGUCGGUGUACAGGUGGUGCAUGGCUGUCGUCAGCUCGUGUCGUGAGAUGUUGGGUUAAGUCCCGCAACGAGCGCAACCCUUGUCCUGUGUUGCCAGCACGUAAUGGUGGGGACUCGCAGGAGACUGCCGGGGUCAACUCGGAGGAAGGUGGGGACGACGUCAAGUCAUCAUGCCCCUUAUGUCCAGGGCUUCACACAUGCUACAAUGGCUGGUACAGAGGGCUGCGAUACCGUGAGGUGGAGCGAAUCCCUUAAAGCCGGUCUCAGUUCGGAUCGGGGUCUGCAA
rnacentral:rRNA from 1 species